UACGUAGGGGGCAAGCGUUGUCCGGAAUCAUUGGGCGUAAAGCGCGUGUAGGCGGCCCGGUAAGUCCGCCGUGAAAGUCCAGGGCUCAACCCUGGAAUGCCGGUGGAAACUGCCGGGCUGGAGUCCGGAAGAGGCGAGUGGAAUUCCUGGUGUAGCGGUGAAAUGCGCAGAUAUCAGGAGGAACACCAAUGGCGAAGGCAGCUCGCUGGGACGGUACUGACGCUGAGACGCGAAAGCCAGGGGAGCGAACGGG
rnacentral:rRNA from 1 species